UGGCACUACUGCAUGGCCGACAGAAUCUGC
rnacentral:piRNA from 1 species